GCCCGCGUGGCGCAAUGGUUAGCGCGUCAGACUUUUACGGCACAGUCGGAAAUCUGAAUGUUGCGAGUUCGAGUCUCGCCGUGGGCG